UUUACACAUGCAAGUCGAACGGCAGCGGGUCCUUCGGGAUGCCGGCGAGUGGCGAACGGGUGAGUAAUGCAUCGGAACGUACCCAGUCGUGGGGGAUAACUACUCGAAAGAGUGGCUAAUACCGCAUACGACCUGAGGGUGAAAGCGGGGGACCGCAAGGCCUCGCGCGAUUGGAGCGGCCGAUGUCGGAUUAGCUAGUUGGUGGGGUAAAGGCUUACCAAGGCGACGAUCCGUAGCUGGUCUGAGAGGACGACCAGCCACACUGGGACUGAGACACGGCCCAGACUCCUACGGGAGGCAGCAGUGGGGAAUUUUGGACAAUGGGCGCAAGCCUGAUCCAGCCAUGCCGCGUGCGGGAAGAAGGCCUUCGGGUUGUAAACCGCUUUUGUCAGGGAAGAAAAGCUCUGGGCUAAUACCUCGGGGUGAUGACGGUACCUGAAGAAUAAGCACCGGCUAACUACGUGCCAGCAGCCGCGGUAAUACGUAGGGUGCGAGCGUUAAUCGGAAUUACUGGGCGUAAAGCGUGCGCAGGCGGUUGUGCUAGACAGAUGUGAAAUCCCCGGGCUUAACCUGGGAACUGCAUUUGUGACUGCACGGCUAGAGUGUGGCAGAGGGGGAUGGAAUUCCGCGUGUAGCAGUGAAAUGCGUAGAUAUGCGGAGGAACACCGAUGGCGAAGGCAAAUCCCCUGGGCCUGCACUGACGCUUCAUUGCCACGAAAGCAUGGGGAAGCAAAACAGGAUUAGGAUACCCUGGUAGUCCACGCCCUAAACGAUUGUCAACUUGGUUGUUGGGGGAAUUUCAUUUCCUUCCAGUAACGAAAGCUAAACGCGUGAAGUUUGACCCGCCCUGGGGGAGUACGGCCGCAAGGUUGAAACUCCAAAGGAAAUUGACGGGGACCCGCACAAGCGGUUGGAUGAUGUGGUUUAAUUCGAUGCAACGCGAAAAACCUUACCUACCCUUGACAUGCCCAGGAACCCCUGCAGAGAUGGUGGGGGGUGCUCGAAAGAAGAGCCUGGACACCAGGUGCUGCAAUGGCCCGUCGUCAGCUUCGUGUCGUGAGAUGUUGGGUUUAAGUCCCCGCAAACGAGCGCAAACCCCUUGCCCAUUAAGUUGCUACGAAAAGGGCACUCUAAAUGGGACUGCCGGUGACAAACCCGGAGGAAGGGUGGGGAUGACGUCAGGUCCUCAUGGCCCUUAUGGGUAGGGCUACACACGUCAUACAAUGGCCGGUACAGAGGGCUGCCAACCCGCGAGGGGGAGCCAAUCCCAGAAAACCGGUCGUAGUCCGGAUCGCAGUCUGCAACUCGACUGCGUGAAGUCGGAAUCGCUAGUAAUCGCGGAUCAGCAUGUCGCGGUGAAUACGUUCCCGGGUCUUGUACACACCGCCCGUCACACCAUGGGAGCGGGUUCUGCCAGAAGUGGGUAGCCUAACCGCAAGGAGGGCGCUUACCACGGCAGGGUUCGUGACUG
rnacentral:rRNA from 1 species